CCCUUAGAUGUUCUGGGCUGCACGCGCGCUACACUGAUACUUUCAGCGAGUCCACCACCUUGCCUGGGAGGGUGGGGUAACCUCUGGAAAGUGCAUCGUGAUGGGGAUCGAUUAUUGUAAUUAUUAAUCUUCAACGAGGAAUUCCUAGUAAGCAUGUGUCAUCAGCCCGUGCUGAUUACGUCCCUGCCCUUUGUACACACCGCCCGUCGCUACUACCGAUUGAACGGUUUAGUGAGGGCCUCGGAUUGGUCUCGGCCCGCUCUUUACCGGGCGGCGCCGCUGGUCGAGAAGACGCUCGAACUUGAUCGUUUAGAGGAGGUAAAAGUCGUAACA
rnacentral:rRNA from 1 species